rnacentral:misc_RNA from 1 species
GCAAAUACAUGGAGGCUCUGCAGUAUUCAGCAGGUUGAGGAGGUGAAACGCUUGUUGCUGAUCAUGCCUAUAUGGGCUUCUGGCAUCCUCUGCUUUCUGGCAAUAUCACAACAGUGGAGCUUCGCGGUGCUGCAAUCCUUGAGGAUGAAUCGCCAUUUGGGACCGAACUUUGAGAUCCCUGCAGCGUCCAUGGCCAGUGUAGGCAUGUUCGCGUUGAUCAUGUUUAUCCCGAUUUAUGACCGAUUUUUUGUCCCUGCAAUA